GGUACCUAAAAUAGCACAGACCAGAGAAAACAAGGGAAGGUUAGGAGAGGCCUGGUGUCAAAAUGAGUUCAGUCAUUUUUCCACGGGCCUUGUGUCUGACACGUGUGCUUUAGAGUCAGAAUUUACCUCUGGAGAACAUAGGGAUGUACGUAGUUAACCGGUUAAUUGCCGUUAAUGUUUUAACCGGGUAAACUAGUUUUUUCCCAGUUAACUGCUUCAAGUCCUUCUGCUGCGCUGGGAGCAAUAUAUUUUGUGCCACCAGUGGGCGCAAGAGCGCCACUAUCAAAUACGUUUACUGGGCGACCGCAGAAGAGGAAAUGAGCUCGUCACAUGACCAAACAAACGUGCUCAAACACAAAGCGGUUAACAACAAGGCAGCAUUGGAUCAGUUUGUUCUUAAUUAUUUCAUUCUUGGAACACAAUAAGCCUCACAUCAAAACGCAGAGCCUGGCAGAACACAACGCAGCAAACUGAACCGAGACCAGCAACAGACAGAUGGACUCAAAUCAGACUCUGGAAGACUUUGGCCUACACAGGAGUUCAUGGUGGACUCAGUGACUGUGGGAGCCCAAACCAUCACCCCUCCUCCACUGUGCAGACAGCUGGGAUCAACUGUUCUCUCCAAACACGGAGCAGUGCAUUAUGGGUAAACUUUGGUCAUAUCUGUCCAAAGAACAUUUUGCCAGGUUGGUUAAUAGGAAACUUUACAAACCCAAGUUGUGCUGCCAUGUUCUUUUCAGAGGGAAACAUGUCACCCUAUUUCAGUUUUUCUGAUUAUCCAGCCUUAGACCUCCACGAUUUAUAGCUUUAAAGUCAUAUUCAAACCAGCAGAAACAACAGAAAUAUUUACAUUUUUACAGAUUCCUUUAAACUGAUUUGUUUGUAAUUAAUUGGACUGUUGAUUCCAUAAUUUGACCCAGAAACUCUUUAAGAUGUUCUGACUGACAGGAUUUUGAAAUGUAGUUCCCUUUUGGAAUGAUAUCUCCCUUCUGUCUGAAAACACUUAUUUUAUUUGUAGGUAAGCUGUUUUUAAUUUGUGUUUCUUUAUUGUUAAACCGAUCCUGAAAAUGUAAGAGAUUUAUGUUUAAAAGUCUUUUUGUGUGUA